CGUAGGUAAUCUACCUUCGGGUGGGGAAUAACCCAGGGAAACUUGGGCUAAUACCGCAUAAUGCAGCGGCACCACAUGGUGACAGUUGUUAAAGCGGGGGAUCUUCGGAUCUCGCGCCUGAAGAGGAGCCUGCGGCAGAUUAGCUAGUUGGUAGGGUAACGGCUUACCAAGGCGACGAUCUGUAGCCGGCCUGAGAGGGCGGUCGGCCACACUGACACUGACAUACGGGUCAGACUCCUACGGGAGGCAGCAGUCGGGAAUUUUGGGCAAUGGGCGAAAGCCUGACCCAGCAACGCCGCGUGAAGGAUGAAAUCCCUCGGGAUGUAAACUUCGCAAGAAUGGGAAGAAUUAGUAGGGGCUAAUACCCUCUAUGAUGACGGUACCAUUUGUAAGCUCCGGCUAACUCCGUGCCAGCAGCCGCGGUAAUACGGGGGGAGCAAGCGUUGUUCGGAUUUACUGGGCGUAAAGGGCGCGUAGGCGGCCAGCGCAAGUCAGUUGUGAAAUCUCCGGGCUUAACUCGGAACGGUCAACUGAUACUGCGCGGCUAGAGUGCGGAAGGGGCAACUGGAAUUCUCGGUGUAGCGGUGAAAUGCGUAGAUAUCGAGAGGAACACCUGCGGC
rnacentral:rRNA from 1 species